rnacentral:rRNA from 1 species
GAUGAACGCUAGCGGCAGGCUUAAUACAUGCAAGUCGUGGGGCAGCGCAGUGUAGCAAUACAUGGGCGGCGACCGGCAAACGGGUGCGGAACACGUACACAACCUUCCUUCAAAUGGGGAAUAGCCCAGGGAAACUUGGAUUAAUACCCCGUAACAUUAUGAGGUGGCAUCACUUUAUAAUUAUAGCUCCGGCGUUUGGAGAUGGGUGUGCGGCUGAUUAGGUAGUUGGCGGGGUAACGGCCCACCAAGCCUUCGAUCAGUAACUGGUGUGAGAGCACGACCAGUCACACGGGCACUGAGACACGGGCCCGACUCCUACGGGAGCAGCAGUAAGGAAUAUUGGGCAAUGGACGCAAGUCUGACCCAGCCAUGCCGCGUGGAGGAUGAAGGUCCUCUGGAUUGUAAACUUC